GAGGAAAAGAAAAUAACAAUGAUUCCCCUAGUAACGGCGAGUGAAGAGGGAAAAGCUCAAGUUUGGAAGCUUCGUGGCAUAGCUACGACGCGUUGUAAACUGAAGUUUUUUGGGUGAUUGGGCGACCGGAUAAAUAAGUCCUUUGGAAAGGGGCAACAUAGAGGGUGACAUUCCCGUCUUUGGUCCGAGUCAGUGCAGUCGCUGCCCAGGAAACGACGAGUCAGGUUGUUUGGGAAUGCAGCCUAAAAUGGGAGGUAAAUCUCUCCUAAAGCUAAAUACUGGCGUAAGACCGAUAGCGAACAAGUACCGUGAGGGAAAGAUGAAAAGGACUUUGAAAAGAGGGUCAAAUAGUACGUGAAAUUGUUGAAAGGGAACCGUAUGAAAGUAGACUGGCUUGGUGAUGAUCAAUGUGUGUUUCGGCACGCAUGCACUCAUUGCCUUUGCCAGCCAGCGGCAGUUUUUGCUGAAGGAAGAAAAUCAGGGGAAUGUAGCUUCGAUUUCGGUUGAAGUGUUAUAGCUCCUGGUAAAAUACUUUGGCAGAGACUGAGGCUAGCAGCGGAUCUUUGGGAACUUUGCGCGCUUGUCGUCCAAUGGCUAAGUUUUCUUCGGAUGCUUGGUUAUUGGGUGGCAACUCGUGUGAUGCUUCACCCUUCCGCUUAGGUCGCUGGCGUAAUGCUUUUAUAUGACCCGUC
rnacentral:rRNA from 1 species